rnacentral:rRNA from 2 species
ACUAAGCGUACACGGUGGAUGCCCUGGCAGUCAGAGGCGAUGAAGGGCGUGCUAAUCUGCGAUAAGCGCCGGUAAGGUGAUAUGAACCGUUAUAACCGGCGAUACCCGAAUGGGGAAACCCAGUGUGAUUCGUCACACUAUCAUUAACUGAAUCCAUAGGUUAAUGAGGCGAACCGGGGGAACUGAAACAUCUAAGUACCCCGAGGAAAAGAAAUCAACCGAGAUUCCCCCAGUAGCGGCGAGCGAACGGGGAGGAGCCCAGAGCCUGAAUCAGCAUGUGUGUUAGUGGAAGCGUCUGGAAAGGCGCGCGAUACAGGGUGACAGCC